ACCAAUCGAGGGACCAACACAGAAGGAGGUAACUAAAGAGAAAAUGAAAAGAAAGAACAGAUACAGAGAAAGGCCAAUAUAUAUAUAUAAUUAUAUAUAUAUAUAUAUGGUGGCUUCGGAAACAGCCUCUCUACCUCCUAGAGGUAGUGGUGUGGACUGCGUACAUUCUAUCCUUUCCAGACCCCAUUACGUGGGAAUAUAUUGGGUUUGUUGUUGUAUAUAUAUGGUGGCUCAAAUUCUUGACAUUAUUCAUAGUGCAAGAUUUGGAAAAAAAAAAAAAAGAAGUCUUAACACUUUACACGGCAAUAGCAUUUAGUAAGACGGCAAAAAUCACGGUCGAAACCAUCACAUUGACAAAUAGAAUUACAGUUGCUGUUCAUAUUAGCAUUGUUAGCAAAGCAUGUUCCAUAAUAGCGUGGGCUCUGCUUCUCACAUUCCCUUCCCUCUGUUACCAUUGUCUAUGCAAAUAUUCCAAAUUCCUCGAUCUUGUUAGAAUAAACAAAAAUUCCAACUCAUCAUAACUGAACUGUAUAUUAUCAAAUUGUAUCUCUUCGAUUUUAGUUUCCAAUUCUUGCAAACCGCUCGUCAUUUCCAUAUUCCUACAGAGAGUUAUAUGACUUUUUUACUAAAGAAUAACAGAACAGCUAUGUAACCAUCUAGCUAGGAAAAUUUGAAUGUUAUUUGUUCAGGACUUGUCACUAAAUUCAUAGCUCAUUUUAGUUACUAAGUUCACAAGUAAUCAGUCUUCAUAUUUAUUUAGUAAUAAAUUUGUCUAAGUUAUUAGGCUUAUUUUCGACUUGUAAGUAAUACUUUACCUCCGCCUUUGAUUGAGAAUAUCUAGUUUUUCAAGUGUUAUUUUGGAAGGUGUGGAGAGAAAUUAAAGUUAUUAACUUACCAGUAGCAAAGAUGAGCAUUAGAAGAAGGCAUAAA
rnacentral:lncRNA from 1 species